AUGCUUGUCUCGUGGGAAAUUUGGAAGGGGCGAAAUGGAAGAGUCUUCCGCAACACGGCCACCUCAACCACCGUCACUGUCAUAAAGAUCAAAGAGUAGGCCCGCCUUUGGACACUGGCGGGAGCUAGCCAUCUGAGUACUCUUAUGUCGCAAGAGUAG
rnacentral:rRNA from 1 species